GAUGAAGAACGUAGCGAAAUGCGAUAGUAAUGUGAAUUGCAGAAUUCCGUGAAUCAUCGAAUCUUUGAACGCACAUUGCGCCCGCCAGUAUUCUGGCGGGCAUGCCUGUUCGAGCGUCAUUUCAACCCUCAAGCCCCCGGGCUUGGUGUUGGGGCUCGGCCCGUCCCUAGCGGAUGCGCCGUCCCCGAAAUCUAGUGGCGGUCUCGCUGUAGCCUCCUCUGCGUAGUAGCUAACACCUCGCAAUGGGAACGCAGCGCGGCCACGCCGUUAAACCCCCCACUUCUGAAGGUUGACCUCGGAUCAGGUAGGAAUACCCGCUGAACUUAAGCAUAUCAAUAAGCGGAGGA
rnacentral:misc_RNA from 1 species